rnacentral:lncRNA from 1 species
GACUUUAAUGGCGUAGGUUGCGGAAAGCUGGACCAGGGACCAUUAUAGAGCAGGUGAACGUGCAGACCGCCAUUGCGCAUGAGCAGGAGCUGCUCAAGAUGACUGACAGGCGUUUCAGGAAGUGCAUCAGGAAGCCUGGGGCUCCUUGGACAACUCUGAGCAGGAAUGCAUCACCAUAUGCAUGGACCGUUACAAGGACGCCUUGAACACUGUGUCCUACGCCUACAACUCUCGACUGCCACUGGAACAAGCCAACGUG